AGGAAAUAGGUUCACAACUGGACACUGUCCUCUCCUAUUUACUAGGACAGGAUGGUGUACCUAGUGUCACCAUUUCCCAGCUGAGGAAGUCAAGGCCCUGAAACACCAUGCAGAUGGCAAGUUCCUCAUGGAAAAGAGGAGACCUUUUGAUCCCAACAUCCCCACAGUGCCCAACACCAAGGCUGGCUCCCAAAGACCUGAAGCAUGGAUUGCUGGGUUGUUGGAUGAACUAUUAGGCACAGCUAGCUGAAAGGCCAUCUUCCCCAAGGAGGCUUCACGUCCUCACCAUUUUAAUCCCCCUCUUCGCCUCCUGCAUGCUGCUCUUCUCUGCACUUGUGGGCAUCUGCUCUGUUAUGUUACCUGUUCCUUUGGGAGCUGUCAAGGCCGUCUUUGUAUCCUUAAUAAAUGUUGACAAGCAAACA